GUUCUGGAAAGACCGGCCAGAGAGGGUGAGAGCCCCGUAGGCGAAACGGAAGGAAGCAGAGCAGGAUCCAGAGUACCACGAGACACGAGAAACCUUGUGGGAAUGAGCGGGGACCACCCCGUAAGGCUAAAUACUCCUUAGUGACCGAUAGAGCAGAGUACUGUGAAGGAAAGGUGAAAAGGACCCCGGGAGGGGAGUGAAAGAGAACCUGAAACCCUGUGUUUACAAACUGUGGAAGUACCAUACGAGUACAACCGCGUACUUUUUGUAGAACGGUCCGGCGAGUUACGUUUACUGGCGAGGUUAAGCACUUAAGGUGCGGAGCCGAAGGGAUACCAAGUCUUAACAGGGCGUUAAGUCAGUGUACGUAGACCCGAAACCGGGUGAUCUACCCAUGUCCAGGCUGAAGUUGCCGUAAAAGGCAAUGGAGGGCCGAACGCACAUCCGUUGAAAAGGGUGGCGAUGAGGUGUGGGUAGGGGAGAAAUUCCAAUCGAACCCGGAGAUAGCUGGUUCUCCUCGAAAUAGCUUUAGGGCUAGCCUCGUGUUAACCUUGUGGAGGUAGAGCACUGAAUAUCCUAGGGGGCGUCAAAGUCUACCGAAGAUUAUCAAACUCCGAAUGCCAUAAAGGUGAUGCACGGGAGUCAGACUGCACGAGAUAAGUUGGGUGGUCAAAAGGGAAAGAGCCCAGACCUACAGCUAAGGUCCCAAAGUGCGUGUUAAGUGGAAAAGGAUGUGGGAUUUCGAAGACAACUAGGAUGUUGGCUCAGAAGCAGCCAUACAUUCAAAGAGUGCGUAAUAGCUCACUAGUCGAGAGGUCCUGCGCCGAAAAUGUCCGGGGCUGAAACACGACACCGAAGCUUAGGAAUGUAGAAAUACAUUGGUAGAGGAGCAUU
rnacentral:rRNA from 1 species